rnacentral:misc_RNA from 1 species
AACGCACAUUGCGCCCCUUGGUAUUCCAUGGGGCAUGCCUGUUCGAGCGUCAUUUACACCCUCAAGCUCUGCUUGGUGUUGGAUGUCUGUCCCGCCUCGGCGCGUGGACUCGUCCCAAAGGCAUUGGCAGCGGUCUUUUGCACCUCUCGCGCAGCACAUUGCGCUUCUCGAGGCGGCGAGGUCGCGUCCAUCAAGCUCACAUACCGUCUUUGACCUCGGAUCAGGUAGGGAUACCCGCUGAACUUAA